UACGGGGGGGGCAAGCGUUGUUCGGAAUUACUGGGCGUAAAGGGCGUGUAGGCGGUUUGUUAAGUCUGGCGUGAAAGCUCUCGGCUAAACCGGGAGAGGUCGUUGGAUACUGGCAAACUAGAGGACGGUAGAGGCGUGUGGAAUUCCGGGUGUAGUGGUGAAAUGCGUAGAGAUCCGGAGGAACACCAGUGGCGAAGGCGACACGCUGGGCCGUACCUGACGCUAAAGCGCGACAGCAUGGGGAGCAAACGGG
rnacentral:rRNA from 1 species